rnacentral:tRNA from 3 species
GGAGAGAUGGCUGAGCUGGUUUAAGGCGCUCGACUCGAAAUCGAGUGAAGGUGAUGAGCCUUCCGUGGGUUCGAAUCCCACUCUCUCCGCCA